rnacentral:rRNA from 1 species
UACGAAGGGGGCUAGCGUUGCUCGGAAUCACUGGGCGUAAAGGGUGCGUAGGCGGGUCUUUUAAGUCAGGGGUGAAAUCCUGGAGCUCAACUCCAGAACUGCCUUUGAUACUGAGGAUCUUGAGUUCGGGAGAGGUGAGUGGAACUGCGAGUGUAGAGGUGAAAUUCGUAGAUAUUCGCAAGAACACCAGUGGCGAAGGCGGCUCACUGGCCCGAUACUGACGCUGAGGCACGGAAAGCGUGGGGAG